AGCCGUGGCACCCAGCAGUGCGAUGCAGCAAUUCCUCUGGUGUGCUGAAUGCUGGGGCCGGCACUGAGAGGCUCUGUGGCCGACGUGGAUCUUCCUGGUUGGACUGCUUGCUCCCUUUAGGUAUCGAAAGGCUGUUACCAGGUCACCUCCGAGCCUUCGCUUCUCCAGGUUGAACAGCCCAGCUCUCUCAGCCUGUCUUUGGAGGAGAGCUGUUUGAUCCCUUGGUUCUGUUUUUUUUUGUGGCCAUCCUCUGAUAUGAUCCAACAGGUCCAUGUCUCUUCUGCACUGAGGACUCUACAUUCCGACACAAUCUCUAGAUGUGGGAUUGUGCAGAAUAUGGACUCAGAUAAGGGAAGCCUCUUGACUUCACAGGUCCUACAGAAGCUGAUGAGAACUUUAGAAAUAAAGUGGGAGCUCCAUACUCUGUGGCACCCUCCUUCUUCAGGGAAAGUAGAAUGAAUCAAUCAGAUGCUGAAGAAGCACUUGUCAAAAUUGGUUUCAGAGACCAAAUUACCAUGGACAAAGUGUUUGCCUGUAGCCCUUGUCAGAACACGAACCACUCACAGAAAAGGCUUAGGAGUAUCAGCACACGAAGUGCUGUUUGGGUGGCCGUACUUGGGAAUGGUGAGAUGCCCGCUCUUGAAACCAAGGUGCACUCAUCCCGUGUUGGAGACUGGUCCUAAUACGCGCCUGGCAGAAAUCAAGGCUUCAGCCUGAGUGGGAAGGACUAUUUCAGGUACUGCAGUGGAUGUCGCCUACCUUGACUUCAGCAAUGUUUUGUUACAGUCUCCCACGUCAUCCUGGUAAUGAAGCUGAGAAAGUGUGGGAUAGAGGAGUGGAUGAUGAGGUGGGCUGAGAACAGGUUUACUGGCUGAGCUCAGUGGUGGUGAUCGGUGGCGCAGAGUGCGGCUGGAGAGCUGUGAGCGGCGGUGCUCCCGGGGGUUGGUGCUGGGUCUGGUUGUGAAAGGUAGAUUGUGUUUGUGCUGUAGAAGCUUUGAGUAUUUUCUGUA